GCCCCACAGCCGAGAACACUGACUGUCUGUUCUAGCCCUUGGUCUGCACGCGGCUCGCUAGAGCCAGGGGAGGAGGAGCAGCUUGUUGGAAUAUGUGGCAUUUGGUAUGAAUUUGAGCACAGAGUAUAGGAAUGUCCCGACUGCAUGACGUACAUGCGCCAUGAGCGUUCACGUUGGAUCCCCUGGAGAUGGCGUUACAGAUGGUUUCCCCAGCCUCAUGCUUCUGAUGCAACAGCAGAGAGCUCUUCUGGCCACCAUGUGGUCCCUAAACUGUGAAUGCAAGCCAUAUGGAGCAUGGGUAAUUUAGCAGUAGAAAGACUUGGCAUUGAACCUGGGCCUCUUGCUACUUCCCAGCUGCAGGACUUAAGGCUCCAGUGAGUGAGUCUUUCCUCAUAAUGGUGAGGUGUGUUGAGAUAUUUCUUCAGGAUCCUACGAUCAGGAAGAUUUGAACAAUCCUUGGAUAUUCCGAUAUUCACAGGGUGUGCCAUCGGAUUUCACAGACAUCUCUAUCUGUAUGCCCCAGCUAUGAAGAUCAAGUGAGCCAUUGCUAUCUCACCCUCAGAGGAAAGAGGAACAGCUACACAGACCUGACCCUCCAGCCUGCCCAACAUCCAAUUAAACAACAACCAAAUGGGUGAACAUAUGUUACAUGCAGCUUGUUAGAAAUUUCUGAACUUAAAAAGUCGCAGUGCAGUAAUAUAUUAGUAACACACCCGUUUUCUCUUAAUUUUUGCAACAUCUCUCUCUCUCUCUCUCUCUCUCUCUCUCUCUCUCUCUCACUCUCAUCCUGUUUUUUUCAGUUUUAUAACUCUCAGGACAUUUAAGUGUGGGUACACACUGAUUUAAAUUGAACGACUUUUAUUGCUUUCUGUCACUAUAUUUCAAAACUUUUUCGAAUAUUAAAAAGAAAUCCAUUUGCAUAAAAUCCACACCACUAGUAUUUAUGUAACUGUUUCAAAAUAAAAUUUUCUCCAAAUAUCAUGCCUUGGCAUAACAGAUUUUUUGGGGGGUAGAUAGAAACAACAGAAAGGACCAAGCUCUCUCUAAGUUGUAUAUACACAUCGAUAGAAAACAUAAAAUGUUUUUUAUCAUAUUUAUGUGCUUUUUAAUAUUUUAGCACACCCUGUGGUUUACAUAUAUUCUCUUCUCAAA